rnacentral:tRNA from 1 species
GCCGAUGUGGUGAAAUGGUAAACACAGCGGACUUAAAAUCCGCUGCCCGAAAGGGCUUACCGGUUCGAGUCCGGUCAUCGGCACCA